rnacentral:lncRNA from 1 species
CUUUUUUUUCUCCAGAUUAAGGAAAAACCUAAAGUCUCUAAUCAUUGUGCACCCCUCUUGGUUUAUCCGAACACUUCUGGCUGUUACAAGACCAUUUAUCAGUUCAAAAUUCAGUCAGAAGAUUAGAUACGUCUUUAAUUUGGCUGAACUGGCGGAGCUUGUUCCCAUGGAGUACGUCGGCAUACCAGAGUGCAUCAAACAAGUUGAUCAAGAGCUUAAUGGGAAACAGGAACCACCAAAGAGUGAGCAGUAAGUUCCGCAUCCAUCCCGGAGGAGGCAGAGCACCGGGGGCAGGGCUGUAGUGCAUCCUAGUGCACU